GUUUAAACUUUUAUGCGUACCCAAAAACUGCUAGAAAAAUGUGUUCUUGCAGAAACAAAGAAGAGCGCCCAGCAACUGAACUCCAUCAUGUGUUGUAGUGACAGAGUGCAGCUCUCCCAGCAGGGGGCGCUCUGCUAUGGAUCAGUGUGAGGACACAGAGGAGGGAGUCCCUCCCUCUAAAACCUCUCUGUGAGGAACAUGAAGCUCUGAGGAUGCAGGAACAGAGACCAGACUCUCCUGGACCCAGCUGUGUGUCCAUGAAGAGUGACGGGUCUAUGGGUCGCCCUGUUGACUUAAAGAUGGACGUCCUGCUGAUGGAAGGAUGCAGGAACAGAGACCAGACUCUCCUGGACCCAGCU